rnacentral:tRNA from 1 species
GCCGCGAUGGUGGAAUUGGUAGACACGCUGGUCUUAGGAACCAGUGCCUUUGGCGUGGGGGUUCGACUCCCUCUCGCGGCA